rnacentral:rRNA from 1 species
CGGCUGCAGUGGGGAAUAUUGGACAAUGGGCGAAAGCCUGAUCCAGCCAUGCCGCGUGUGUGAAGAAGGCCUUAGGGUUGUAAAGCACUUUCAGUGGGGAGGAAAGGUUCGAGAUUAAUACUCUCGAGCUGUGACGUUACCUACAGAAGAAGCACCGGCAAACUCCGUGCCAGCAGCCGCGGUAAUACGGAGGGUGCGAGCGUUAAUCGGAAUUACUGGGCGUAAAGCGCGCGUAGGCGGUUUGAUAAGCUAGCUGUGAAAGCCCUGGGCUCAACCUGGGAACUGCAGUUAGAACUGUCUGACUAGAGUACAGUAGAGGGUGGCGGAAUUUCCUGUGUAGCGGUGAAAUGCGUAGAUAUAGGAAGGAACAUCAGUGGCGAAGGCGGCCACCUGGACUGAUACUGACGCUGAGGUGCGAAAGCGUGGGGAGCAAACAGGAUUAGAUACCCGGGUAGUC